rnacentral:rRNA from 1 species
AUGAACGCUGGCGGCGUGCUUAACACAUGCAAGUCGAACGAAGCACUUAAGUUUGAUUCUUCGGAUGAAGACUUUUGUGACUGAGUGGCGGACGGGUGAGUAACGCGUGGGUAACCUGCCUCAUACAGGGGGAUAACAGUUAGAAAUGGCUGCUAAUACCGCAUAAGACCACAGCGCCGCAUGGUGCAGGGGUAAAAACUCCGGUGGUAUGAGAUGGACCCGCGUCUGAUUAGCUAGUUGGUGGGGUAACGGCCUACCAAGGCGACGAUCAGUAGCCGACCUGAGAGGGUGACCGGCCACAUUGGGACUGAGACACGGCCCAAACUCCUACGGGAGGCAGCAGUGGGGAAUAUUGCACAAUGGGGGAAACCCUGAUGCAGCGACGCCGCGUGAAGGAUGAAGUAUUUCGGUAUGUAAACUUCUAUCAGCAGGGAAGAAAAUGACGGUACCUGACUAAGAAGCCCCGGCUAACUACGUGCCAGCAGCCGCGGUAAUACGUAGGGGGCAAGCGUUAUCCGGAUUUACUGGGUGUAAAGGGAGCGUAGACGGUAUGGCAAGUCUGAUGUGAAAGGCCAGGGCUCAACCCUGGGACUGCAUUGGAAACUGUCGAACUAGAGUGUCGGAGAGGCAAGUGGAAUUCCUAGUGUAGCGGUGAAAUGCGUAGAUAUUAGGAGGAACACCAGUGGCGAAGGCGGCUUGCUGGACGAUGACUGACGUUGAGGCUCGAAAGCGUGGGGAGCAAACAGGAUUAGAUACCCUGGUAGUCCACACGGUAAACGAUGAAUACUCGCUGUAGGCGAUAUACAGUCUGCGGCCAAGCGAAAGCAUUAAGUAUUCCACCUGGGGAGUACGCCGGCAACGGUGAAACUCAAAGGAAUUGACGGGGGCCCGCACAAGCAGUGGAGUAUGUGGUUUAAUUCGAAGCAACGCGAAGAACCUUACCAGGGCUUGACAUAUAAAGUAAUAUUUAAGAGAUUAAAUAGCUCUUCGGAGACUUUAUACAGGUGGUGCAUGGUUGUCGUCAGCUCGUGUCGUGAGAUGUUGGGUUAAGUCCCGCAACGAGCGCAACCCCUGUACUUAGUUGCCAGCAUGUAGAGAUGGGAACUCUAAGUAGACUGCCGCGAAUAACGCGGAGGAAGGUGGGGAUGACGUCAAAUCAUCAUGCCCCUUAUGAGCAGGGCUACACACGUGCUACAAUGGCGUAAACAAAGGGAAGCGAGCCUGCGAGGGUAAGCAAAUCUCAAAAAUAACGUCUCAGUUCGGAUUGUAGUCUGCAACUCGACUACAUGAAGCUGGAAUCGCUAGUAAUCGCGAAUCAGAAUGUCGCGGUGAAUACGUUCCCGGGUCUUGUACACACCGCCCGUCACACCAUGGGAGUUGGUAACGCCCGAAGUCAGUGACCCAACCGCAAGGAGGGAGCUGCCGAAGGUGGGACCGAUAACUGGGGUG